rnacentral:rRNA from 1 species
GAUGAACGCUGGCGGCGUGCCUAACACAUGCAAGUCGAACGGGAAGCUGACUUCGGUCAGUGGAGAGUGGCGCACGGGUGAGUAACGCGUAGUUGAUCUGCCUUUAAGUGGGGGAUAACAUCCAGAAAUGGUUGCUAAUACCGCAUAAGCUCACGGUUUCUAGAAAGCUGUGAGAAAAGAUUUAUCGCUUAAAGAUGAGACUGCGUAUCAUCAGUUAGUUGGUGAGGUAAUGGCUUACCAAGACAACGACGAUUAGGGGACCUGAGAGGGUGGCCCCCCACACUGGAACUGAGACACGGUCCAGACUCCUACGGGAGGCAGCAGUGAGGAAUAUUGCACAAUGGGCGCAAGCCUGAUGCAGCGACGCCGCGUGGGUGAAGAAGGAUUUCGGUCUGUAAAGCCCUUUUCUAUGUGACGAGAAUGGACGGUAGCAUAGGAAUAAGUCUCGGCUAACUACG